CUUCCUUUGCUGCUACUGCCUUGGAAUCAGCUGGCUGAGUCACCUGUGUGGGCCAGUGUUUCUGCUUGCUGUGCUUCUGGUGCAUUGGCUGGGAAGACUCUGCUGACCUUUUUCAGUCUCUGGUUUUGGCCCUUAUGAAUGGAGCAAGGACAUCUCUAGCACCUGGUGGAAGGCACACUCUCAAAAUUUUGCAACUUCCCUUGGAGGUCUGGAGGAGGAUUCUUGUUCACAAGCAGCUCACAUCGGACCCCAAAGGGAGGAGGACACUGUCUGGCUGUCUGUCUUUCUCUCUGCCUCCCUGCCUGAUUCUGUCACGUGACAGAUACUUACUGAGAAGCCAGUGGAGUCCUCACAACAGAUCAGUUUAGCAUCAGAGCCCCCGCAAUGAGCCCCGUUUUCUGGUUGAGGAAACUGCGCUUGAGAGAGGCCCAAGGUCACCCAUCUGACAUAUAUAUUUUGAAUCCAGGUCAUGAGGUAAGGUGCAUCUCAUUUCAAACUCCAUUCUUUUAAUUGUUACGGUUGAUUGUUUCCCAAAAUGUGGGUCUGCUUUAUGCCAGGAGGAUUAAAAAAUAACGUGGAAGCUUAAUGCUUUUGACGCAUAGUAAAUGACUUAUUAUGUUCCCUAGUGGGACCCUUGUUUAUGUGAUUCGUUGAGGGAAUGUCCUCGGGAAAAGGACACACGAGAGAAAGCUACCC
rnacentral:lncRNA from 1 species